AUCUAGCUGACGAGUCCCAAAUAGGGCGAAACGCGCGUUAUGGAU
rnacentral:hammerhead_ribozyme from 1 species